rnacentral:rRNA from 1 species
UACGUAGGGUGCAAGCGUUGUCCGGAAUUAUUGGGCGUAAAGAGCUCGUAGGCGGUCUGUCGCGUCUGCUGUGAAAACUCGGGGCUUAACCCCGGGCCUGCAGUGGGGUACGGGCAGACUAGAGUACUGCAGGGGGAGACUGGAAUUCCUGGUGUAGCGGUGGAAUGCGCAGAUAUCAGGAAGAACACCAAUGGCGAAGGCAGCUCUCUGGGACGGUACUGGACGCUGAGACGCGAAAGCGUGGGGAGCGAACAGG